GACGAACGCUGGCGGCGUGCCUAAUACAUGCAAGUCGAACGAGAGCGCCCGGUGCUUGCACUGGUCAAUCUAGUGGCGAACGGGUGAGUAACACGUGGGUAACCUGCCCAUCAGAGGGGGAUAACAUCCGGAAACGGAUGCUAAAACCGCAUAGGUCUUCGAGCCGCAUGGCUUGAAGAGGAAAAGAGGCGCAAGCUUCUGCUGAUGGAUGGACCCGCGGUGCAUUAGCUAGUUGGUGAGGUAACGGCUCACCAAGGCCGUGAUGCAUAGCCGGCCUGAGAGGGUGAUCAGCCACAUUGGAACUGAGACACGGCCCAGACUCCUACGGGAGGCAGCAGUAGGGAAUCUUCUGCAAUGGGCGCAAGUCUGACGGAGCAACGCCGCGUGAGUGAAGAAGGUUUUCGGAUCGUAAAACUCUGUUGUUAGAGAAGAACAAGUGCUGGAGUAACUGUUAGCGCCUUGACGGUAUCUAACCAGAAAGCCACGGCUAACUACGUG
rnacentral:rRNA from 1 species